rnacentral:tRNA from 1 species
GUCAGUUUGGCUUAGUUGGUUAAAGCGCUGGUCUAGCAAAUACGGAGGUGUGGGUUCGAAUCCCAUCAGGACG